rnacentral:rRNA from 1 species
GGAUGCGAUCAUGCCAGCACUAAAGCAUCGGAUCCCAUCAGAACUCCGAAGUUAAGCGUGCUUGGGCGAGAGUAGUACUAGGAUGGGUGACCUCCUGGGAAGUCGUCGUGAUGCGUUCCC